ACAUUUCAACCCAUUCUCACUCCAAAGGCGUCAAAAACCGAAGCAUGGUCAAGCGCCCCUAGCGUCACUUUUAUGACGCCAAAUGUGCCUCUCGGCGUCGACUAUCGAAGCACUACGACCUUCAUUGCUUUCAGUGGGAAACUUUUGGCGUCAGAAUUCGACACGAGGACAUGAGAUGUUUAUCGCUAUGAAAUCACGUUCAAGAAGUCUCAUUCAGCACACAUCGCGCGAUACUUGCUAUCAGUUCCACAGUUUGGCUGAAAAGACGUAAAGGCAGUCAGCCCAGUGGUGUUUCUGGAGAGGGAUUCCUUCAGAAAUGGAGAAGACAGAAAGCUGCGGAGGCAGAUAUUUGCAGCAUGUUCGAGUGAGCAUGAUGACCACGAGUGUGUGUCGAACUUUUCAUGACCUGAUGACUGUGUUUCCCAAUCCUGAUCCUGGAGAACCCCAGCACUGCACGGUUUUGGCGUCUCUCUUAUCUGCCUUGGAGUCUUCACUGAUGAGCUGAUGAGUUGAAUCAGGUGUGUUUGAUCAGGGAGACAUCUCAAAUGUGCAGUGUUGGGCUUCUCCAGGACCAGGAUUGGGAGCCACUGCCUUAUGGGACACUUAUGUGUUUAAAGAGAUUUUUAAUAUCUAAUUAUCAAUAUUUCACAUACUGUACAUUGGACAGCUUUCCAUGACCUCUUGUGAGAUCUCGGCAAAAAGUCUGACGAUUUAUUCCAAAACAUGAUGCAUGAUGGGAUACACUAAGCUUUGUAUAGCGCUCCAGAGCAGUAUUGGAGAGGUUUAGUGUGUGUUAAGGACGCUGUGCUUUGGCAUUAUUAAGACCGGGGACAGUCUUGUGCACACACUGUCACGUACACACACUCUCAAGUGGCCAAGACUGCAAGUGUGGGUAUCUGGACAGGGUCAAAGUCUUAAAAAUGAUCCCUAAACACAUCACAGUCUUAAUAAUCCAGUUUAACACUUGUAUGAUAUUGUACAAGCCCCAGGACUGUCUCAUCUGACACUAUCAAAGAAUUCAUAUGACUAUAGCUUGUUAUUAAUUACUUGCUUUCAAUAAUGGAUUCAUUUAACAUUUAAUUAUACAGCAUCUUUACAGAGGUGUAAUGUACAAGCUGCACGUAAUUAAUAAUAUGUCCUUCCUUCUGUCUUACAGGAUUUUUUCCAGAUAAUGCUGUUCUUCUUUUUCAGGUCUAAAAUAUCGAGCUCAACAGCUAUUUUAAGAGCCAACCCUCACAAACCUUCCUAAAACCUAAAAGAGCUAUUACUGAGUCUCAGCGAAUCUUGCCAUGAUCAGCUCUUCCCAGAAGAGAAGGAAGACCAAGGAAAUUAUUUGCUCAGGAUGAGAAAUGAAGACGGCCAUCUUGUGCUCAAACAAACAGAAGUCC